UACGUAGGGUGCAAGCGUUGUCCGGAAUUAUUGGGCGUAAAGAGCUCGUAGGUGGCCUGUCGCGUCGGCUGUGAAAACUCGGGGCUCAACUCCGAGCUUGCAGUCGAUACGGGCAGGCUAGAGUUCGGCAGGGGAGACUGGAAUUCCUGGUGUAGCGGUGAAAUGCGCAGAUAUCAGGAGGAACACCGGUGGCGAAGGCAGGUCUCUGGGCCGAUACUGACACUGAGGAGCGAAAGCGUGGGGAGCGAACAGG
rnacentral:rRNA from 1 species